AUCAAGUAAUGGUUCCCCACCAAAAAGGGGAUAAAAGGGAAUUCGGUUCCGUCCAUACAGAGACUAUUCCGAAGCUGCCCCCGCAACUGUGUGUGGUAGUGAUACAUCCGUAAACCACUGGGAAACCGGGAAGGAAGAUGUAUUGCGUUAAUCCGCAAGCCAGGAGACCUGCCAUUGCAUG
rnacentral:ncRNA from 1 species